rnacentral:rRNA from 1 species
UACAGAGGGUGCAAGCGUUAAUCGGAAUUACUGGGCGUAAAGCGCGCGUAGGUGGUUCGUUAAGUUGGAUGUGCAAGCCCCGGGCCCAACCUGGGAACUGCACCCAAAACUGGCGAGCUAGAGUAUGGUAGAGGGUGGUGGAAUUUCCUGUGUAGCGGUGAAAUGCGUAGAUAUAGGGAGGAGCACCAGUGGCGAAGGCGACCACCUGGACUGAUACUGACACUGAGGUGCGAAAGCGUGGGGAGCAAAC